rnacentral:rRNA from 1 species
AGGGUUUGAUCAUGGCUCAGAACGUACGCUGGCGGCACGCCUAACACAUGCAAGUCGAACGAAGUAGCAAUACUUAGUGGCAGACGGGUGAGUAACAUGUAGGUAUCUGCCCUUUGGCCUGGAAUAACACGAGGAAACUUGUGCUAAUACCGGAUAAGUCUUUACGGAGAAAGCUUUAUGCACCAUUGGAUGAGCCUGCACUUGAUUAGUUUGUUGGUGGGGUAAUGGCCUACCAAGACUGUGAUCAAUAGCUGAUUUGAGAGGAUGAUCAGCCACAUUGGGACUGAGACACGGCCCAAACUCCUACGGGAGGCAGCAGUGGGGAAUCUUGCACAAUGGAGGAAACUCUGAUGCAGCGAUGCCGCGUGAGUGAAGAAGGCCCUUGGGUUGUAAAGCUCUUUCGUCGGGGAAGAAAAUGACUGUACCCGAAUAAGAAGGUCCGGCUAACUUCGUGCCAGCAGCCGCGGUAAUACGAAGGGACCUAGCGUAGUUCGGAAUUACUGGGCGUAAAGAGUAUGUAGGCGGCUAGAUAAGUUAAUUGUGAAAGCCCAAAGCUUAACUUUGGAAUUGCAAUUAAAACUAUUUAGCUAGAGUAUGAUAGAGGAAAGCGGAAUACAUAGUGUAGAGGUGAAAUUCGUAGAUAUUAGAAAGAAUACCAAUUGCGAAGGCAGCUUUCUGGAUCAUUACUGACACUGAGGAACGAAAGCAUGGGUAGCGAAGAGGAUUAGAUACCCUCGUAGUCCAUGCCGUAAACGAUGUGUGUUAGACGUUGGAAAUUUAUUUUCAGUGUCGCAGGGAAACCGAUAAACACACCGCCUGGGGAGUACGACCGCAAGGUUAAAACUCAAAUGAAUUGACGGGGACCCGCACAAGUAGUGGAGCAUGUGGUUUAAUUCGAAGAUACGCGCAGAACCUUACCAACACUUGACAUGUUCGUCGCGACUCUAAGAGAUUAGAGUUUUCGGUUCGGCCGGACGAAACACAGGUGCUGCAUGGCUGUCGUCAGCUCGUGUCGUGAGAUGUUGGGUUAAGUCCCGCAACGAGCGCAACCCUCACUUUUAGUUGCCAUCAUUAAGUUGGGCACUCUGAAAGAACUGCCAGUGAUAAGCUGGAGGAAGGUGGGGAUGACGUCAAGUCCUCAUGGCCCUUACGUGUUGGGCUACACACGUGCUACAAUGGUAUCUACAACAGGAAGCAAGACUGCGAAGUUAAGCAAAUCCCUAAAAGAUACCUCAGUUCGGAUUGCACUCUGCAACUCGAGUGCAUGAAGCUGGAAUUACUAGUAAUCGUGGAUCAGCGUGCCACGGUGAAUGCGUUCCCGGGUCUUGUACACACCGCCCGUCACACCAUGGGAGUUGGUUCUACCUUAAGGCAAGGUUUCAAACCCUUGACCACGGUAUAGUCAGCGACUGGGGUGAAGUCAUAACAAGGUAGCCGUA